AUACGAAAGGUGCAAGCGUUGUUCGGAUUUACUGGGCGUAAAGAGAGUGUAGGUUGUUUAUUAAGUCGGAUGUGAAAUCCCGGGGCUCAACCUCGGAACUGCAUUCGAUACUGGUAGACUAGAGUUCGGGAGGGGUAAGCGGAAUUCCGUGUGUAGCAGUGAAAUGCGUAGAUAUACGGAGGAACACCUGAGGCGAAGGCGGCUUACUGGACCGAUACUGACACUCAGACUCGAAAGCGUGGGUAGCAAACAGGAUUAGAUACCCUAGUAGUCC
rnacentral:rRNA from 1 species